rnacentral:rRNA from 1 species
GAUGAACGCUAGCUACAGGCUUAACACAUGCAAGUCGAGGGGAAACGACAUCGAAAGCUUGCUUUUGAUGGGCGUCGACCGGCGCACGGGUGAGUAACGCGCAUCCAACCUGCCCACCACUUGGGGAUAACCUUGCGAAAGUAAGACUAAUACCCAAUGAUAUCUCUAGAAGACAUCUGAAAGAGAUUAAAGAUUUAUCGGUGUUGGAUGGGGAUGCGUCUGAUUAGCUUGUUGGCGGGGUAACGGCCCACCAAGGCUACGAUCAGUAGGGGUUCUGAGAGGAAGGUCCCCCACAUUGGAACUGAGACACGGUCCAAACUCCUACGGGAGGCAGCAGUGAGGAAUAUUGGUCAAUGGACAGGAGUCUGAACCAGCCAAGUAGCGUGCAGGAUGACGGCCCUAUGGGUUGUAAACUGCUUUUAUAAGGGAAUAAAGUGAGUCUCGUGAGACUUUUUGCAUGUACCUUAUGAAUAAGGACCGGCUAAUUCCGUGCCAGCAGCCGCGGUAA